GAUGAAGAACGCAGCGAAAUGCGAUAAGUAAUGUGAAUUGCAGAAUUCAGUGAAUCAUCGAAUCUUUGAACGCACAUUGCGCCCGACAGUAUUCUGGCGGGCAUGCCUGUCUGAGCGUCAUUUCAACCCUCAUGCCCCUAGGGCGUGGUGUUGGGGAUCGGCCAAAGCCCGCGAGGGACGGCCGGCCCCUAAAUCUAGUGGCGGACCCGUCGUGGCCUCCUCUGCGAAGUAGUGAUAUUCCGCAUCGGAGAGCGACGAGCCCCUGCCGUUAAACCCCCAACUUUCCAAGGUUGACCUCAGAUCAGGUAGGAAUACCCGCUGAACUUAAGCAUAUCAAUAAGCGGAGGA
rnacentral:misc_RNA from 1 species